rnacentral:rRNA from 1 species
UAGUGGCGGACGGGUGAGUAACGCGUGGGUAACCUGCCCUGUACAGGGGGAUAACAGUCAGAAAUGACUGCUAAUACCGCAUAAGACCACAGCACCGCAUGGUGCAGGGGUAAAAACUCCGGUGGUACAGGAUGGACCCGCGUCUGAUUAGCUGGUUGGUGAGGUAACGGCUCACCAAGGCGACGAUCAGUAGCCGGCUUGAGAGAGUGAACGGCCACAUUGGGACUGAGACACGGCCCAAACUCCUACGGGAGGCAGCAGUGGGGAAUAUUGCACAAUGGAGGAAACUCUGAUGCAGCGACGCCGCGUGAGUGAAGAAGUAGUUCGCUAUGUAAAGCUCUAUCAGCAGGGAAGAUAGUGACGGUACCUGACUAAGAAGCUCCGGCUAAAUACGUGCCAGCAGCCGCGGUAAUACGUAUGGAGCAAGCGUUAUCCGGAUUUACUGGGUGUAAAGGGAGUGUAGGUGGCCAGGCAAGUCAGAAGUGAAAGCCCGGGGCUCAACCCCGGGACUGCUUUUGAAACUGCAGGGCUAGAGUGCAGGAGGGGCAAGUGGAAUUCCUGGUGUAGCGGUGAAAUGCGUAGAGAUCAGGAGGAACAUCGGUGGCGAAGGCGGCUUACUGGGCCUUUACUGACGCUGAGGCUCGAAAGCGUGGGGAGCAAACAGGAUUAGAUACCCUGGUAGUCCACGCCGUAAACGAUGAUUACUAGGUGUGGGGGGACUGACCCCCUUCCGUGCCGCAGUUAACACAAUAAGUAAUCCACCUGGGGAGUACGGCCGCAAGGUUGAAACUCAAAGGAAUUGACGGGGGCCCGCACAAGCAGUGGAGUAUGUGGUUUAAUUCGAAGCAACGCGAAGAACCUUACCAGGUCUUGACAUCGAGUGACGUACCUAGAGAUAGGUAUUUUCUUCGGAACACAAAGACAGGUGGUGCAUGGUUGUCGUCAGCUCGUGUCGUGAGAUGUUGGGUUAAGUCCCGCAACGAGCGCAACCCUUACCAUUAGUUGCUACGCAAGAGCACUCUAAUGGGACUGCCGUUGACAAAACGGAGGAAGGUGGGGAUGACGUCAAAUCAUCAUGCCCCUUAUGACCUGGGCUACACACGUACUACAAUGGCAAUAUAACAGAGGGAAGCAAUACAGCGAUGUGGAGCAAAUCCCCAAAAAUUGUCCCAGUUCAGAUUGCAGGCUGCAACUCGCCUGCAUGAAGUCGGAAUUGCUAGUAAUCGCAGAUCAGCAUGCUGCGGUGAAUACGUUCCCGGGCCUUGCACUCACCGCCCGUCA